CCAGCCCUGCCCUGCCCUUGCCAGUGAGGCGCGGCGGCUACCUCAGGUGAGCACCUGCCCCGGGCGAGAAGCCGCCGCCUCAGGCAGCCGCCUCCCGUCCCCGUCCUCUCCGUGCGCAGAAACCCCUGUGCAACCCCCGUCGUGAGGACGGGGCUGCGCAGCCGGGACCGAGAAGAAACUUCUUCACAGUGAGGGUAACAGAGCACUGGAACCGGCCGCCCAGGGGGGUCGUGGAGUCUCCUUCUCUGGAGACAUUCAAAAUCCACCUGGAUGCCUUCCCGUGUAACCUCAUCCAGGUGUUCCUGCUGCGGCGGGGGGAUUGGAGGAGAUGAUCUUUUGAGGUUCCUUCUAAUCCCUAACAUUUUGUGAUUCUAUGUGGACUCCCGGGCGGAUCUGUGGCGCCGUGUCCCGCACCCGCGUUCCUGUGGCACACGUAACCCCCGCCGGAACAAACACAUGCACACGUUUUAAAAAUAUAAAUAUGCUCUGUCCGCAUGCGUUUUCCCUUGCAGAUCCUUUUGCAUUACGUUAUAUAUUUUAGGUACGUCUAUAUUUUACACACAGCUGCAUUUUGUGCACACGUACCUAAGUUUCAAUCUAGAAAUAAAAUAUGCGAAACUGCUGACAGUAGUUUCACCCCUUGCUGUGAAGAUCAAAGUUUCGGGCGGGGCUGUGUUAGGGGGCUGAAGGGUUGUUGGUUUGGGAGAUUUUCCUGCUCUCUAGGGUUUUUUUUUUCAGGCUGUCCUGAGGAUUUGCAGAGAGAGGAAUUGAAGUCGCCUUUUCUCCGUUUCCUUGUAAAGAGUUGGUGAGGAAAUUGUGCAAUUAAGGGCUGAAAAAAACCCCCAGACUGGUUCUGCCCUUGCAAGGGUCUGUCUGCACGGUCGUUAACUGGCUCCUCACACACCGAAAUACAGCUCAGUGGAUGUGAGCCAGAGGAAGGUUGAAGUUCUCACACUAUCUCAGGACACAGUUUGGAGUUACUGUUUAAACACUCUAUCCAUGGUGGGUUAAAAGAAGGAGGAAAAAAGGGACAUGCAAUGUCUUGGGGAAAAGAAAAUGCAGGCGUUAGAAAAAAAAGUAGGUGAUCCAGAGUUGCACGAUUUAAAACAAACAAAUGAUCAAACAAAUGAACAAACCAAACAAAACCAAACCACUCCAAAAAAAAAUAACCCCAAAAAAACCUACCAAACUAAAUGUAGGUAUUUUAGUGGAAAAACUGAUGUUUCGUAAAAGGAAAUGAAAACUAAUGUGACAUUUAACUUCAUGUGUUGCUAUUCCAGAGACACGCUGGGACUUAUUUUAUUUUAUUUUAUUUUUUUUUUUUUUACCAGAACUCCAGAGGUGGCUGGGGCAAAACUGGGGCAAUCCUUGUCUUAGGGUAUACCAUAGUGUAAGAAACAGGGGCACCUUCUUUAUUCUCCAUGCUGAAGAGUCCACAGUCCCUUUGCCCCUGAUUUACUCCUUGUCUCUCUUCCUUUUUUUUUUUUUUUUUUUUUUUUCUCCUUUAGGUGGUGGAAGGACCUCUGGCCUUUCUCAUCACUUGGUCUGGCUAAUGUCAUCCCCUUUUGUUCUAAUGUGCCAUAUCACAAGAGAGGUCACAUUAGUGAUAUGUGAAAACAUUUUCACUGGUGAAGAGAAAUGGAGUGACAUGCUCCUUCCUUUUAGAUGGGGAAAGGUUAUGUAUGGGAGCAGAAAGGUUGGAGAUAACCUCUGGGGGUACCAGCUGGGAAGGAGCAGGAAUUUGUGGAGAGGAGAAAGUGGGAGAUAUGUGGCAGAACUACGGGAAGCAGGGGGAAAAUGUAGCAGAAAAGUGGAAGGAUAAAAACCCCAAAGAGUGGGCAGGAUAAGGCAGGAAAAACAAUGGGGAAGACACAUCACAGCUAGGAAGGAAUGUAAACUAUGUUAGAAACUAUGUUAGACCCUUUUGCUGACAUACAGACAGUCACAAAAGCAUUUCCAGUAAACAAUAGAUACUACAAUCUCUGCACGUAUGACUGAGGACUACUGAGGAGAUUAGAAAAUAGUCUAAAAAAUGUGAAACAUUUCCUGCCCUCCUCCUUUUCCCUGCCCUCUUCUCCAUUCCUGAACUCCAGCACAAACAUGAAUUCUGUAUAGUUUUUAUACUCAAAACCAAUUUGGUUUCAUGCACAGAACACACCUGAAAUGAAUUCAGGAUUUAGAAAAUACUCUCGUUAGAGAGUAUCCUCAGAUACCACUGACACCACAUAUAGGUUUACAAGCUCUUGACACAUUGGCAUUGUCUCCAUUGGAAGAGCUGUUGAAUUGUUAUUAACUUUAUUUUGCAAGUAUGUACAUUUAUUUGUGCUUGUGAGAUCUGUGGCAAAAGAUAUCACAGUUUGCUCUGGGAUUUAAAAUAUUUAAUGAGAUUUCUGAGAUAAAUUUCUCUCCUUGUAACUAGGAAUGCUGACUGGAAAGUUUGAGGGGUGGGGGGAGGGGAGAGACAAAGAAUUUUGUGUGCACAGCAAUUCAGACAAUGCUUAGCCAAGAUCUGAAAUAGAAAUGAAUUAAGGCUUUCUAUUACCUGAAGAAAAUAAGAAAAUAUCAUGUAACUGAUUGCCCUAUCAAUAGCAGUUCCUUGAAGCUGAUUUACGUUGGAUUAACACCUCUUCUCAACUGAAUUGGGAAAAAUUCUGUGUCUUUUGAGAGGGAAAUAUUUUACCAGUGCGAUUUGAGGAUGCAAAGCAACAUAGCUGGGAUUAUCCCUGAAAGGGUUGCAACUUGUGAUAGAUGAUUGCUCCUUAGAUUUUUGUAAAAGAUAUCUAAUUAUGAUGUAUGUAGUGACUAAGGGAUGAGGAAUCACAUGCAGAAACAUUUGCUUUCUGUCCAGUGUCUGAUGCAGUCAAGCAGACCAGAAAACCAGAUAUUUCUUUGUAACACUUAUUUCCUAUUCUGACCAGAUGUGCUUGGUCUGAAUGGUGCAACCUUUCUCCAUCAGAAGUUCUUCACAAAUAAUGUUUAUAUUAAAAUUGCGGUAGUUAGUCCUUUCACUCUUCUUUCCCUUCCUCCCACCCCUCUCUCUGUGUUAGAACUUACAGAACAAGCUGGGUUUGUACCUUGGAAACAGAUUAUUUUCAGCUCCAGGAACCUUAGAGGAAAUGGAUGUAGGUAUGAACACUGAGUAGUUCAGUCUAAAUGUGAAGCAGCUCGCCAACGAGGGCUUAAUCUUAAAUACACACAACAUUAUUCCUAAGUUUAUCUCUAGGACAACAUGGAAAAUGAAGUGCCGUUAAGUGCCGUUCAGUCAAGGCUUUUUUUUUUUAAUCAAUAUUUUGGAUCCCGUGGUUGAAUGUGUUACGUGCAAAUGCCGGUUGAUCAGGAAUAGCCGGACCGUUUUCGUAUCUGUCUUUUUCUUUCUGCUUUCCUUGGAGUCACCCCGCCGAGGGGAGGGGAGGGAGAGGUGACACUGCCACCGCGCGUUCCCCUGCCGGAACGGCAGAACCAGCCCUGCUCCCUGGCGCUGUUCCCUAGGAAGGGAAAACAUGCGAAGCAGACUUGGAGAGUCUCCGGGAAGGAGUUAACUCCAUGCUUAAACAUCCCAGAUCGGUAUUUUAUUGCAACUUGGUCUGUCACAGGAGAUAAGAAUGAAGUUUGAUCCAUCUGGCUUUUGCACCAGGCACUGGUAUCCUGUAUUUUCUCACAGUAACAUAUACAUUUAUUUCAUCCCAGCCUCAUUUUUGGAAGCAGAGAAACAGAAAAUCAUCUGUUCUGGCCGGUGAGAUAAAUUAUAGCAAAGACUUUUUUUUUUUUUUUUUUUUUUUUUUUUUUUAAAGACACCUACAUGAAAAACGCUGCUCUUGCAUUGGUAAAAUGACCAUGAUAAGAGUUCCCUGCCUGGCAGAGAUGUGGCAAUAAAAGCAGUACAAGCUGCGACUGGGUCUCUCUAACUGACCUCGACAGAGUUCAAGGGAGUGGCAAAUUGCCUGAGAAAAUAAAACACACACACAUACACAAAAGAUAACAAUGAUCCUCAUUGAAACUUCAGAAACCUUCAGUCACUUUGAUGAGGUGGAGGUUUUGGUUUUCUAGCCUACCGAUACCAGGGUGGCAGCUGAUGUUGUAGCCCUCAGGAUGGGAAGCCACUUCUAAAUCACCCUGUUUUUCCACAACCUGAAGAUGCACACAUGAGGGAUCUGUUAUAAUAAACUCACUUGAAUAAUGCCAGAUUAAUGCAUCCAAACCAGUCACCAUAAGAAAAUGACAGAAUGCACUAAAACAUUCAGGAGAUUAAGUUGGAAGAAGACCAAAGUGUACAUGCAUAUUCAUUCUGCGUUGGAUCCUUGACUACUCUUUAACAGCUUUGUGCACAAAACAGUCACAAACCUGGCUGGCCUGUUUCCCUGGGAGAGGAAAAUCUCAGUGAGGCUCCAGUUACCAGAAUAGUUUAUAAGCAAUCUGUGUGUAACACCAGCAGGUCCAGCUGGCGAGCUGCUCUGUAAACACAAUGAUUUCCUUGAUUUCCUACUGGGCUUUUUUUCUUUGUUUUUGUUGUUUGUUUGUUUGUUUGUUUUUUGGUUAAGAACUCAGAGUAGUUAACUUUUCCUGGGCACAUUUUUCAUAGUAAUUUAUCAUGGGUGAGCCAGGUCAGGAAAAGUACAGUCCAACCUUAUCCUUGCUCAAAAUAAAUGCAACUAGUUCUACAGUAUAAACAACUGCCUUGUUCUCCAUACUUUUAUAUUUAUAUAUAUAUGUGUGUGUGUGUGUUUAGGUUUUGUUGUUAGCAUAGACAGUGUUGUGUAUAAUACAGAGCAAAAGUUCAUACUCUAGGCAAUUUCAGUACAGUUUAGCAAGUGCCAUAAGAACAUAAAAAUGUUUGUCCUGGAUUAGACCAAAGAUCCAGGUAGCCUACCAUGCUGUCAUGGUGGCCAACAGUGAAUGCCUACUACCAAACCAGAACAAAUGUGGAAUAGCACUCCCCUAGUAUUCUUCUGCAGCUUAUAGCAAUGUACAGCUCAGGGAUGUCUUUAGUCACAGGCAGUACCUUUGUGUUUAAUUGUCUUUAAUGAUUUUCCUUCCAUGAAUUUGAAUAAUGCCUUAUUGCAUCACUAUUGCCCUUUUGUAAUGAGUUGUACAGCUUGAUUAUAGAGUAUGAGAAGAUAUAUUCCCUUUUGUGGUUUUGAAUAUGCUAGAUGAAAAUUUAACUCGAUGUCAUUUAUUUUUGGUAUUAUGAAAAACAAGGGAGUAAGAGUUUCUUAUUCAUCCUCUCUGUGCUACUGAUUAUACAGUUCAGUAUUAUGUUCCUCUGCAAUUGGUUUUCCAGGCUGAAAAGUCCUAACCUUUUAAUCGUUCUCUGCCUUGGAUUUAUACACCUUGGAUUUAUACAGUGGUACAUUAAUUACUUCAUGUUUUCUUCCUAUUCUGCACCUCAUAAUUCCUUUAUGUUCUGUCAGCUUUUUUUGACUGCUUCUAAGUUGGUGUUUUGAAGUUAAAGACCAGUGCAGAGGAUUCUUUAUUUGGCCUGCACACUUCCUACAAGGAUGUUUAAUAUAACAUUUUAGUUACUAUUACAGAGUUAGUCCUUGAUAGUAACAUUGUAACACAAGCCAAAAACAACACUGGGAAGUGAGUCAAAACCAGACUCUCCCCUUUAAAUGGCCUGUCUAGUUUAGCCAUGAAACAUUCAUGUACAGUGUCUAAAAAUACUCCAGUGUGACAUUUAACUCUACAUAAGAGUAAUUAAAUUCUCCUAUUAUUAUGGUAUUUCCAGUCCCGGCAGACUCUCUGAAUCUGAUUUUUUCCUAGCUUGUCACUAUUGUUAACUGUCCUUAUCUCGACUGGAUUGGUGGUAAUGUAUGCACUUUGCCUUGAGAGCUGCUUUUAAAUAUUUUGCCUUAAAUUUCUGUAGGAUCUCUGAGAUUUUGUGGUUGGACAUCCAACCACUGCUAUAGUUCUGGUGGUCUCACAAGUUGUCCAUGAUGCUGUAGAAUACACAUCAACUUUAACUAGGAAGAUAAAGUGUAUAAACACACAUAAAACCACAUAGUCUUAAUUUGUGAAAAAGAGCCAUGGUUCAAAAGGAACUAAAUCAAAAUAUUCAAGAGAAACACAGCCCUUACGUGUAGAGUAAACAAUGGAAGAAAACCAAAGUUGAAUUGCUUGCUGUGUUCUGAAGACUGCAAAAUGUUUUACAUGUAUUCAUGAACUAAACUUGACAACAUCACCAAAACAGAAUAUUUGGCAACUGGUUCCUUACGUACAGCCAUCUGCAAAAUGAAAUGAAACUUUGGGGAAUUUUCUACGAACAUGCUCUAGCUGUGGCUUGAUCAGUAUAAUCAGGCACGUUCACAUUCUUCCUACCCUUUGCUUCUCUGUUGCAUAACAAAUUCAUGUAUAUUUAUCAGUACCACAGCAUCUGCCAUCUGUUAAUCCAGGUGCUAGAUCUAAACAGUAGAAGUUCUCUGUGCCAGUGGGCUGUUCCUUGCUAUGUGCUAUGUCUCUGAAGUUAAGUAUCAUUUUGAUAUUAACAGAAGAUUUUAAUAUUGUUCCUUCCUUUGCAAUUUUGUGAAAUGUUUUAGAUAAAUUAUAAAAAUGUGUGCAGUUUCAUUUUGGUCUCUGUAGUGUCCUGUUUCAUUUUUAGCUUAAUGAAAACUGUAAGUAUAGGAAGAUUCUUGUUUUGUACACUUUAGAUUACUCUGAUAUACUGUGCCAGCAGCCACUGGAUUUCACUUCUUUUGGUCUGCCCCAGACAAUAACUCCAAAUGGGAUAUGAGAACUUUGUAAAGCACUUCCUAAAAAUCAGAAGUAAUCCAGCCAAAUAUCUCCCUGAUGUGAAGCCACUGGCAGUAAUGGAGAUAUAGCAAUAACAAAUAUUGCCUUGACAUCCACUAAAUCUGUUCCAUUUGGUUUUGUCAAUACGUUUAUGAAUUUUUUUUAAAUGAAUCAGUCAGUCUCUCCAUAACCUGAAACCAGGCUAGUUAUGCUUAUUCAAGCUGUACUUUUUCUGACACUGAUGAAACACAAUUGAUCCCCAGACAUGCUGUUGAUGAUAACUUAUUUCCUGCUGCUGCAAAAAGCCAGUAUCUCAAUAGGCAAUUUAAACUGGAAUAUUCAGCCGAAGAGCAGUCUAGGCAGACAAGGACAUUUUUUGUCUAGAUCUUAACUGGAAAAAAGGACUGCACACAGUUAAGCUGUGCCUGCCAGUUCCCAGGAAUGCAGUUGUCUGUAAUUGGGACGAUCACUGCGGGCAUAUUCUGUUACUGACAGAGGUCUUCUGCCAGCCUCUCUUAAAGUCCUGCUGAAAGUUUUCCUCACUAGACCUGGAUUUGUGUGUAGCCAGAGUUUGCAGUUUCUUCCCCAAACUCAUUUUUUUAACAUGGAAAGGACACCAAAGGCUACCAGUUAUUAAAUCAAUGUUUCAAUGGAAAUAUAAAAUAAUAAAUCAGGGCAUGAAAAUUAUUAAAGAUGUUUUUAUAGUUAAAACAGAUGAAAUAUGAUAAAUGUCCAUCCUGCCCACUCUGUUCCUUGCAGGUCUAGUUGUUUCCCCUUGUCCAUCAGCUACCAUUGAACAAACCCAUACAGCCUCUUCUGGGCUGCUAAAGAAGUGUGUGUCUUUCAUUACCUCUCAAGGUACCGUUUCAUGCCACAUCUCACAUAGUUUGCUGCUGAAAUGGUGAUUCCCACUUUUUCCCUCACAGUCUCAAUCAAAUGGUCCUGUUUUUCCCUAUGUGUUGGCUGUACCAGUAGUUUGGCCAGAGGGUAAAAAGGCUUACCUUGCUGCUGCUGGAAAACUAGGAAUUUCUUUUUUGUUGAGUUAGUGUCAUGUGAGGUUUGCAAAUGAAGAUGUAAGGAGUCAUUAGAGAAGGAGUGUUGCUUUUACAAACUGGGGACCUGGCACCUGACCGCAGUGUGGGGGAGGACUGAGAGACAUCAGACUACAAAUCCGUAAUGUUAAACAAAGUCUCUUCAAACUAAUCCCAGAAUGCAAACUGAUUACUGUAUUUAAAAAGUUAAGCUAGGGGAAAGGAUAACCAAAGAGCCAGAAAUCCAUAUUUUAAAUGAAUCAUUAAGGGGAAGAGGUUUGUUAGAAUUAGAUGAAUGAGAUAGGUGAACUGAGACAGGUGUUGGGUAGUGUGUAAAGCCUUCAGUACCCAACCAAUGGGAACUGGGGAGGGAACUUGCAGCUGGGAUUAGGGUGACAUAAGCAGGGGCUUUUUGGCCUGUUCUGUGUGCCUACACCUGGUUUUGCAAAAUCAUUAAUACAAUACGCUUUGCUGAGAGAUCCUGCCUGAGCCUAUUAUGUUGGCAAGAUGAUAAUUUCCUACAAAGGAGCAGAAUCAAAUCUUCUGGCAGUGGUAGGCAGGUAACUUGAAACUGCACAGCUGUGGCUCUGCUCCCUCUUGUGGGCUGCCCCUCACUACUCUUGGGAGUCUCUCAGUCUCUGUUACCACUUCAUACCUUUUCCUGCUUUCACUCCAAAGAACUGAGUUUAACUCUGAGUGCAGUAGCCCAGAUGGGAUGGACCUUUGUUUCUUGGAAGAUACCAAACAGGAGAUAAUACACUAUAUUGGAAGAAAUUAAAUAGAUUCAUCAAAAGUGUACAGGCAUGCAUAUAUGUAAAAUGCAUACAUUACUGUAUGCAUUUUAAAUGAAAAAGAAGACGAAAAUCAGUGUUUGUGUAGAAACUGCAGACAGUUGGAAAACAUGCAUGAGUUACCUUCCAUUAGCUUUCCUCUCACUACUGGGAUCCAUCACCAACAGCUUGUUUAUUCCCUCCUGCCCUGGGUAAUUUAGCUCCUCUUUCCUCCAUCAUAUGGAGAAGUUUGAAAAAAGGCUCUGUAUUCGCAGGAUGUAUGUUAUGUUCCACCACUCUGAAACAAGAUCUUGGAAAUAUUUCAGAUCAAGAAAGUUGAAUACUAUUUAUAUAGAACUCUGGUGCUGUAUCAGGUUUCUAGGAUUGUUUUUUUCUUUGCCUUCUCUGACUGCACUUGUCAGCCACUUUUCCUACACAUUGAUAUUACUUUUUAGAAAUUAUACAGCCUUCUAGCCUACUGAGAGGUAAAUUAAAGAGCACUGAGAUUUAUUCACCAAAUUGAAUUUCCAAUUAAAGUUACAAUUGCUCACAGUAUUGUUUAUUUUCCUUUUACAAACUUAGAAAAAGACUACUUAGGAAUAUGGCUAAUGACAUUUUUAUGGAGUUAUAAGCAAAUGUGCUUAUAUAAUACUUCACUUCAAAAUAACAUGGAAACAUUGCAAUUAAGUUCUGUGAGACUCACCAUACUCUCUAGUUCAUUUUGUUUCUUUAUAUGUGGAUAGGAGGCUUUAUUCUCCUUCCCCAUUUAUAUAUAACUCCACUUGAGCACUUUAAGUAGCACUGCUAUAAUACUGUUGUCCAAAGAAAUAGCAACAAAACGUGAGUGGAGAUUGGAUACCUGUUGAAAUUUCUGCUGAUGGUGAAGUAGAGUUCUGCUGGAGGAAUACCCACAGAAAAAAUCAUCAGACACGGCAGACAUGGCAGCAAGAGAAGAACUGACUCAUGGUUGGCACUGCCUAUUCUUUGUAUCAACUGCACCUCUCACGCUCUUCAUAAGACGAAAGAGGGCCAAGUUGAGAAGAGCCCAGACAAGGGUUAGAAGUCAUCACCAAAAGAUCAGUCAAUAGGAAUUCAUUGCUUUCUUGUGAAGAGUAUGUUUCAUGACAUCUGAAGCCCAGCUGAACCAAAGGCAGGAGGUGUUACACAGCUACCAGAAUAAAAGUAGGAGGCAAGGUGCCCACAGAGGCUAGCUUUCAAGUUACUGGGUGGAAUCCACAUGGAAAUAUCUGAUAUGAGCAAAGAAAAGUUGUGUAUGUUUAGGGGUAUCUUAGGGGAUGCCACCUGAAAACUACAGACAAGAGCUAUUGAUGUAGUCCUCAUAAAGGAAGAAGAAGAAGAUCAUCAUUGGCACUAUCAGUGAUGGUCAGGGUUCAAGGAUUUUGCAGCUCCAUAUGUUCUGGAAAGGGACAGCUUUGCUUUGAUGCCCUCUUUUUAACUGAGAAGCAUAUCAGCUUCUUGACUUCAAACAGGCAGUGUUUGUUCGGCAGGACCAAAGACCAGGAGGCAAGGAGGAGCUGUGGCUUACCUUGAGCAAGGUGGAAUCUGCUUCCAGCAUAUAGACAAGGAAAGAGUGACAUUUUCUGGUCCCAUCAAGAGGAAAGUAGCUAGGAAAGGAAGGAAGGAAGGAAGGAAGGAAGGAAGGAAGGAAGGAAGGAAGGAA